rnacentral:rRNA from 1 species
UAGGGAAUCUUCCGCAAUGGACGCAAGUCUGACGGAGCAACGCCGCGUGAGUGAAGAAGGAUUUCGGUUCGUAAAACUCUGUUGUUAGAGAAGAACAGCGCAUAGAGUAACUGUUAUGCGUGUGACGGUAUCUAACCAGAAAGCCCCGGUUAACUACAUGCCAGAACCGGCGGAAAUACGACGGGGGCAGGCGUUUACCGGUUUAUUUGGACGUAAAGCGAGCGCAGGCGGUCAUUUAAGUUUGAGGUGAAAGCCCCCGGCGAAACCGGGGAGGGUCAGUGGAAACUGUUUGACUUGAGUGCAGAAGAGGAGAGUGGAAUUCCAUGUGUAGCGGUGAAAUGCGUAGAUAUAUGGGGGAACACCAGUGGCGAAGGCGACUCUCUGGUCUAUAACUGACGAUGAGGCUCGAAAGCGUGGGUAGCAAACAGG